AGAGCGGUGCGGUGGCCACACGUGGGCUAUCUCGAUAGCUCCCCAACCAGUUCACGUCCCAGAAAUUUCUUCUCCUCUCUCCACCUAGCAUCUCUUCGUGCGCCGUUUCCGCCGUCCUGCCUGCCUGGUCGCCUGAGCUUCUCCCUGACUCACACUUUCUAGCGCCGCCGGCCUGGCUUCCCUCGCCGUGGCCGGGUGGUCAUCAGUGCACGCUCGGCCGGUUGUCCCCAUGAGCAGCUUGGACCGACGACAUGUGCUCUAUAUAGGAGCAGCCGAGCAGGUGGGGAUGUUGCUGGGUAAGGAGGAGGCGGGUUGAGGUGCGCGCACUAGAUCGGUGGCUUGGGAGGUGCGAGGCCGUGGGGAUCGAGGAGUGGCGGUCGCCGGAUGGCUGGCCCGAAAGCUUCCCCACCCGAUCCCUUCCUCCCCCUCCCCUGGCCUAGGCUCCCUCUGGAUGGCGGCCCUGACGUGGGUCUCUGGCUUCCCCGGCGCAGCCACGGCCUCGCAUGGAAGACGGCCCCGGCUCCGACGGCUGGUCGACUAGCACUGCUGCCUGUUUCGUUUCUUGGAGCGACCAACACUAGGACCCGAGGAUCUGGCUCCUUGAUAGAGCAGGAUGAGGGACACGAACAAACCAGCACCAUGGCCAUGUCUGCCUAACCUCUCCCUCUCUCUCAGCCGGUGGCGGCAACACGGAGGUAGCUGCACAUGAGGAGCUCGACCUCAGUAAGGGGCGGAGCUACGCCCCUGGCAACCAUGGCCAUGGCCCCGGACGCAUCAAAUUUUCCGGCCACCUACGCAUUGAAUUUUGGAAUUGGCUCUGGGUACUGUCCAGUACUUGCCUGUCCGUUCUGACCCGAUACGACCCAAAUUAGUUGGAAACGAGAUCCACAUCGAGCGGGAAGGGGGUUCCGUCCCCUUGGUCUCUGCGGCUGGACGCGUGCGCCGCAACGCGCCUCCCCAUUCCAUCAUCCCCGGCAGGCCAGCUUGCCGCCCAGGUCCGCACACUCCCGGAUACGCUGGAAGCACGGCUCCCAUAGGCUGCUCGACGCUGGCCCGCCCUCCCAGGACUGCGUACUCCUCUGCAGCAACUAGGUGGUUUAUUCAUCUCACGUUUUCAAGUUUCAGUUUAAUUGAUUUAUGUGACUGUCCAGAAGUAAACCGAUUCAUUUUGCUAUCUAUUUCAUGCUUUAGGAAUAAAAGAUUUAGAGAUUUAGACAUAAAAGUGACAAACAUGGAUGCUACAAUUUUUUGCUAUCGAUUUCCAAAAUACCAAACAGGGAUGAUGCAAAAAAAAAAUCUAUAGACUUCAAGUUUUUUUCAUCAUCUCUUUGUAUUUUUUUUGGAUCAUUAGGAAUUGAGUUUAAAUUAAAUCUUUGCAAUCGUACUAGAUUUUUGUACAAUUACAUGGGGUUUUUAAAGUUUUUUUUUUGCGCUUAGCUUUUGACCCGGGGUUUGCUCUGAUCCUGGCUCCGCCAGUCACUACCCAUCUGCGGAAAGAACUGACGGUACAUCGCCGGGCUGUGCACCAUCUACCAUCUUUCUCUCUCUCUACCGUGUGUGGCUACAGCUUCUCUCUCUCUUCACGAGGUUGAUGCAUGUACCAAGUGUUUGAUGUUAUGUUUGUGAGAAGAGAUUUGUUUUGUUGGUCUGUAAAUCCUUGCAGGAUUUAGAUGUGUGUCAAUUCAACCUCGACCAGAUUCCAUGGGUGAUCACCCCAAGCGAGGUGCUCCUCCUCAACACCAUAAGAGACAGGUGCAGCUCAAUGGGUGUCUGCUCCGUUGUGCCACGCCGUGGGGAUACAUGGGACCGGUGGUCUGUGGUUGCUCACGCUCGACGACGACUACAAAGGCGUCGACGGUGCGGUGCCAUGCCAUGGGAAGACUGGGCGGGCGACAUGCAGCCAGAGGGAGGGUGUGGUCGAGCUUGCGCUCGACUGUAGAGGAUGCUAUAAACGGAUUUUACAGUAGCAUGGAGUUUUUUACCUGCUCAUAUAUGAGGUAAAAAGUCACAAUGUUUUCAAUCUUGGCAAUUACCUGCGUACUAUUAUGGGCUGAUUUUUGUUCCCAAGACAUAGAGAUGAUGAACACUAUUUUGUUUAGUGGGCCGAUGCAGAAUGGAAGGGCAGGGCAGGAGUGGGAUCUAUAUGGUUACCACACCAAACAAAAACCAAAGUCAAUCGGGAAUUAGAUAAACAUUGGAACCCAUUGGAUGGUGAAUGAUAAAACUAUGCACAUGUAGUCUCCUCUAGCAGACGCUGCAUCUUUCUUGUGUUCAGUACGUCCUAUCUACUGCAUAUUUGAGAAUUGAGUGUACCUAUUAGCAUCAGAUGUGUAAUUUAGUCGCUCAGUUUUUGACAGAAAGUACCUGUGAUUUUUGAAUGAUGUAUGACUGCGUGCUUUGGAUUCAAUACAUUGAUGGCAAACAGGUUAAAUUCCUAGGUUCUAAAGAAAAUGCUUUGAGAUGAUAGUAUCCCCAUAUUUCUAUGUCACUCUUUCGAAUUGCUACGCCACUAUCUUGAUCAUGUAUUAGAAGAGAGCAGAUGUUGAAUUAUAUGAAGUUUGAUUGUGUAUAUUGUAUGUUCGUACAAAUAACUUGAUGGCCACAUUUAAGAUAUAUUUGCUUAAUAUCAUUACAGCAGGAGGGUAUACACCAUCAGAAAACUGUCUACUUUAAAUCAACCUCAUCGGCUAGAUAUGUCUGUUGUGCCAUUGGGCUAUUCAUAGUUCUGUAAUUCUUAAUCCCCAUGUGAUGUGUACCGAAUAUGUUGAGGUUGCCAAACAACUUCAAGACAACAUCAGCAAUUUGGGGGUUUUAAUUAUACACUCGCAUGUAGGUUUUGCAUACUGUAUCCGUACAAGUGUUGUAAAAGUUGAUGUUUUGUGUGGCAUGCUUUCUGUAGUUAUUUUGAUGUUAGCCAAACUAAGUAGCAUUUACUAGAAGCAUGUCUGCAAUUCAUGAUGCCGCUUGGCCUCUUGAUGUUCAUGGGGACUGCUAGAGCUGUAGAGCAUGUUGAUUACAAAAGAGAGAAUUUUCACCUUUUAGUAACUAGAGAUUAUAUUUUCUUCGCUCUCAGUUUGGCUUCUUGUGUGGAAUCAAAACUUACAGUAAACCUUACAACUGUUUUGAUUGAAGAAGUUGAGAGCUCACAAUAUACAAACAAAUGAGAAUGUUCUGCUAGGCAAGAAGAUAUGUUGGCCAAGAUGCCGGUAUAAUAUGAGCACUAAUUGGUGCAUUAGAGUUGAUUUCUUGUAUAAGUGACAUUGUUUCUAUGUGUGGAUUCUGGUCUGGAUUAUUAAGAAUGGACCAUAUAUUUUAGUCCCAUAUGCCAAAUAUUGCUUGAAUCGAAGAUGGCUAUCGGAUACACUUUCAAAGAGCUGGCACUAAUAGUUAUAGAGGUGGAUAAUCCUCAUAACUGGUGGUUUAUGGCCGGCCUGCCAAUAUUGUUGAGGGAAGACAACCCAUAAUGAGAAUGCUUACAGGGGCCCUUAUUGCCCCUGCAUAAAGGGAGUGGAGAGGUAAACCACUGUACAGUUCCACAAACUGCAAAGGAUAUCCAACCUAAUGAAGAGAGUAAGGUGGUCUCAUGGCAACCCCCAUCAACAGGCAGCAAAAACUCACAGGCAACACCUGCCAAGGACAUCUUAGAGGCUGCCGAUUCAGACUUUGGAGAGAACAUAGAGCAAAAAAGGAAGAAACCACAAACCAACUAUGACGUCCGCAAGAAAAGGUGAAUGCCUACAUCUAACCUGUAAGACCAAGCUAAAUGAAUCUAUACUUCACCUCAUAGGCAGUCUAUUUUUUUGCAGUGCAACUAAUGAAAAGAGAGAGGUAACACGGAAAUGUUCCCACCUAAAAACAGAAGUUUCACCUGACCGGGACAGAGAGUACCUUUUGUGCACUCCAGCCGUUGUGGUUUAGAAAUUGAAGACACAGAGGGAGUUCAACUGGCGAAUCAGCCAUCAAGCUACCGAUCUAUAUCAACUUAUCGUCAAAAUAUAAUGUGUAAUAUAAUUGGCCUAUGUGCCAUGUCAGGAGCAACUACUUCUGCUGUAUCAUCUACUGUGGUACAAAUCUGUUUUACUUUAAAAUGUGUCAUUGAUAUCAUCUACUAUUACUUUUGUAAGUAGUUGCAGUUAACUGCAAUCUUUUGAAAGUAAAGAAGGACAAAAUGCAUGUGCCUAUAAUCGUUAUAUUA